rnacentral:rRNA from 1 species
UACGUAGGGGGGCAAGCGUUGUCCGGAAUCAUUGGGCGUAAAGAGCGUGUAGGCGGUCCGGUAAGUCGGCUGUGAAAGUCCAGGGCUCAACCCUGGGAUGCCGGUCGAUACUGCCGGACUAGAGUUCGGAAGAGGCGAGUGGAAUUCCCGGUGUAGCGGUGAAAUGCGCAGAUAUCGGGAGGAACACCUAUGGCGAAGGCAGCUCGCUGGGACGUUACUGACGCUGAGACGCGAAAGCGUGGGGAGCGAACAGG